ACCCACCCUUCUCCUACAUGAAGCUCCCGCCGCACAACCAUGUCCAACUUGCCCGAAUCACACCCAAAAUCGGGCGAAUCGUCUCGCUGAGUUUGCUGGUCCCCCCAACCUCUCUCUCUCUCUCUCUCUCUUCUCCAUUUCAUCCAAACCACGUGAAGAAUAUUCUCGAACUAAUUUCUUUCUUCUUCGAGUAUGUGAUUGGACGAAUGGGAAACGUGGGAUUGAUCUAAAUCGAUCCUAGCCUUCCAUUCAACCGCGCGCUUACUUGGUUGAGAGAUUUUUCGGUUCCUUGGAGAUAAAGGCUAGAGGUUUCUAGGUUCGAUAUAUAAGGGGUUCGUUUUCAGAUUUGGGGAGGGAUUUCUUGAGAGAAAAGCUAGGGUUUUGGGGUUUUGAUUUUGAGUCCUCCUCUUAAUCUAAUUUUCAGUUUGUUCAUAGAUAAAAAAAAGGGUUCUGUUUCGUGUUGAUAAUCAGAAAAUAUUUUCAAAAAAAAAAAAGUUAGCUCUUUCUGGUUCUUGUUUAUAUUUUUAGAAGUCAGAAAAAUCAAAAAAAAGAACAACACAAAAUAAAUAUAGUUCAUUUUUCCAGUUCUGAUUUAAGCAUGGAGUUUGAUUGAACUCUGGUGGUGUUCGAAUUAUUGGAGUCGCCGCUAUGUUUCGGGUCGUGGCUCGUGGUUUCUGUUCGAAGAUCCUGCUGAGUUUCUCUGUUCCGGAUUCGCUCGAUCCAAGGUUGUAACUGCAGAAAUUUUGUUAAUUGAAGCUGCAUUUUCAGGU
rnacentral:lncRNA from 1 species